UGGGGAAUAUUGGACAAUGGGCGCAAGCCUGAUCCAGCCAUGCCGCGUGGGUGAUGAAGGCCCUAGGGUUGUAAAGCCCUUUCGGCGGGGAAGAUAAUGACGGUACCCGCAGAAGAAGCCCCGGCUAACUUCGUGCCAGCAGCCGCGGUAAUACGAAGGGGGCUAGCGUUGCUCGGAAUCACUGGGCGUAAAGCGCACGUAGGCGGCUUCUUAAGUCGGUGGUGAAAUCCUGGAGCUCAACUCCAGAACUGCCUUCGAUACUGAGAGGCUCGAGUCCGGGAGAGGUGAGUGGAACUGCGAGUGUAGAGGUGAAAUUCGUAGAUAUUCGCAAGAACACCAGUGGCGAAGGCGGCUCACUGGCCCGGUACUGACGCUGAGGUGCGAAAGCGUGGGGAGCAAACAGGAUUAGAUACCCACGUAGUCCCUGAGCGGGCUGGCAAGGCGCAU
rnacentral:rRNA from 1 species